GAUGAUGUGUCACUCAUA
rnacentral:siRNA from 1 species